rnacentral:rRNA from 1 species
UUAAAUACAACAAGAGAUGAGGUGUAAAGGUGAUCUGUGUCCAUCAAAUUGUCUGCAGCGUAAUUAUUAUUGAGUGAGUGCUCAGAGAAGGUGAAAAGCCUGUGUGGUUGUGUCAAUUCGGUGGACCGGUUUACUUACGAGUCUAGUUGUUUGAGAGUACAACUUAAAGUUGGUGGUAAAUUUCAUCAAAGGCUAAAUAUAUGAAGGGACUAAUAGCGAACAAGUACCAUGAGGGAAAGUUGAAAAGUACUCUGACGAGAGAGUUAUACAGUACGUGAAACCAUACUGAGUAAAACAGAUAACUGUGUUGUUUUGCCCAGAUCCAUCAACAGCGUUGGGAGCAAUGCCAAUCCACAAGAGUCAGCUGUUUAUUCAGCGUCGUUUCUGGUGGUCAGCAGAGCAAUCCACUCUGUGUACUGGUGUCUGGGCGUUCAUUGAGAAACUAUGGUGUUGCAUCAUCGGUGUCCGUCAGUUCGUGCUAUGUGCGUAGAUGGGCGCUGGGUGUUCAGCUAACGCUGUCGUUUAGCUAGUAAUAGCUGUGAGAUGCGUUCAAAAGCCUGCUCUGCUUUAGCUGCGAAUCGGUUUAUUCCUUUUUGCGUCGAGUACGAGUUGGGUGUAUUGAGUGUCUCGCCAUCAAUGAUUUGAAACAUUAGUUAUUUGACCCGUCUUGAAACACGGACCAAGGAGUUCAAAUGGCACGCGAGUCAUUGGGUUUAAUCACCCGAAGGCGAAGUGAAAUGCAAAUUUAUCGUCACUCGUGCUAUGUACGAUUUAGCGAUAAGCUACUGAUGCUUUCUGGCAUUCGUAGACUAAAAGCGUGAUGUUUGAGACCCGAAAGAUGGUGACCUAUGCCUAGUCAAGAUGAAGCCAGAGGAAACUCUGGUGGAUGUCUGAAGUUAUUCUGACGUGCAAAUCGAUAAUCUGAUCUGGGUAUAGGGGCGAAAGACUAAUCGAACCAUCUAGUAGCUGGUUCCUCCCGAAGUUUCCCUCAGGAUAGCAAGCGUACAUUUUUUAGUUUCAUCCCGUAGAGCGAAUGAUUAGAGGCCUUGGGGCGUAUAUAGCCUCAACCUAUUCUCAAACUUUCAAUGGGUGUGAGUGUUCUUUCUUGAUUGAAGGACCCUAUUAAAUAAGUAUGCUUAGUGGGCCAUUUUUGGUAAGCAGAACUGGCGCUGUGGGUUGAACCAAAUGUCGAGUUAAAGUGCCUAAAGCCGAAAUGCGCAUGAGAUCUAUAAAGGGUGUUAGUGCUGAAGACAGCAGG